rnacentral:rRNA from 1 species
UGAACGCUGGCGGCGUGCUUAACACAUGCAAGUCGAACGAAGCAUUUAGAACAGAUUACUUCGGUUUGAAGUUCUUUAUGACUGAGUGGCGGACGGGUGAGUAACGCGUGGGUAACCUGCCUUGUACUGGGGGAUAGCAGCUGGAAACGGCUGGUAAUACCGCAUAAGCGCACAAUGUUGCAUGACAUGGUGUGAAAAACUCCGGUGGUAUAAGAUGGACCCGCGUCUGAUUAGCUAGUUGGUGAGAUAACAGCCCACCAAGGCGACGAUCAGUAGCCGACCUGAGAGGGUGACCGGCCACAUUGGGACUGAGACACGGACCAGACUCCUACGGGAGGCAGGAGUGGAGAAUAUUGCACAAUGGAGGAAACUCUGAUGCAGCGACGCCGCGUGAGUGAAGAAGUAAUUCGUUAUGUAAAGCUCUAUCAGCAGGGAAGAUAGUGACGGUACCUGACUAAGAAGCUCCGGCUAAAUACGUG